CCCUUCUAUAGCCAAUCCCUUAUAAUGACCACACAGCAAAGCCUGAGGCCCUUAGGCAUCUACAAGCAUCUGCAGUAUUUGCUGACUUUUUUCUAUCUGCAAUUUUUCUAUUGUUCCUCCUUUUGCUGGAGGAUGAUUGUGGCUGGGUUCUCCUUAUUACUGAUGGUGAAAAGGAGCUUCCUUUACCUAAACAGCUGGGCUGUAAAUCACUAGGGAUGCUCAGAUGUGGCAGUGGUUUGACACUGGGAAACAAGAAGCAUCAGUGUUAUCUUUUUAAACCUGAAAUGAAGAGCACAGCCCUUAGCAAAGCUUGGUGGGCGAGAGCACUGGACGCAGGUCUAUUAAUUUUGCUCUCCAAAGAAUGAUGUGAGUUCAAAUCUUUCUUCUGCCACAGUCUAAAAUUACCAGGAAGGUGAUGUUCCCCGGCCUGUGCUAUGCAUCACACCCAUCCCUGCUGGCACCACCAUCCGUUAUACAGCCGUGCCUGUCACGGAGGACUCCCAAAGCUGAUUCUGCCUUGAGAUUUCUCAUCCCGGUGAAGGACAUAAACCCCAGGACUGAAAUACUAUUGCAGCACACCUGUGCACUCCCUGCACCCACUCACCCCCACGAUGGGGGUGAGGUUCUCUGUUUUUGCAACCUACAAUGUUAGAACGUAAUGCUGACUUGUUUUACAACCUUUUUUGUCACUUGAGUAAAUGAAGUCUCCAAUUUUAAAGGGAUCACUUCUGGUUUUUAUUAGAUUUUUGUUCAGAGUACGGAACUCUUCCCGGUUAUGGAUCUGGGCUUAAUUGAAGUUCCACUAUCUUGAUCUUUUCCGGUUUAAUUUUGGUCUGACCUUAAUGUUCUUGGGAUGUCGUGUCUCAGCUGAAGCUCAGACCAGUGCUGUGAGCUGCACCUACAGAAACACCUUCCUUUUAACACAGGGACACUUCUGGCCACCUGCAGAUCAGUUUGCAUUCCUUCUAAUCUUUAUUGCUGAGCAAGAUCUAAGCUAUCC